AAGAAAGAACAACAAAACAAACUCAAUAAAAAUAUAUGGAUCGACCUCAAGCCUACCUCCAUGGGGCAUGCAAGCUUCACUAUGAGAGAAACAAAAUCAAAGAAUAUAAGAGGAACUCACCACUCAACCCUUGUACAAGAGUCUCUUAACAAGAAGCCUCAAAAUCCUCAUAAAAAUUUUGAAAUCUCUUAAGAAGCCUCUCUAUACGAUCAGGACAUCACUAGCUACCCGACCCUUGAAACAAUCACCGUCCGCUGCCUGACGGUCUACCCAAAACCUCUACUUUUGCUCUCUAUUGGUGCCUAUCUUCAGGGUCUGCUGCCUGCUGUCGAGCUUCUCCUACUACCACCCUAUCUCUGUUGCCCACAAGGCCAUGUCUAGAUCAGAGUUACACGUCAAUCAGGACUCCAAAAGCUCAAACCAGCUUCCUAGCUGUUUGAUCAAACCCAUAUCAUGCUCUAUCAAACCUACAUG
rnacentral:lncRNA from 1 species